CUACCAUGCAGUCGAGCGGUACAGAGAGAAGCUUGCUUCUUUGCUGACGAGCGGCGGACGGGUGAGUAACGCGUAGGAAUCUACCUAUUAGUGGGGGAUAAGCCAGAGAAAUUUGGUCUAAUACCGCAUACGCCCUACGGGGGAAAGGAGGGGAUCUUCGGACCUUUCGCUAUUAGAUGAGCCUGCGUAAGAUUAGCCAGUUGGUGAGGUAAUGGCUCACCAAGGCGACGAUCUUUAGCUGGUCUGAGAGGAUGAUCAGCCACACUGGGACUGAGACACGGCCCAGACUCCUACGGGAGGCAGCAGUGGGGAAUAUUGGACAAUGGGGGGAACCCUGAUCCAGCCAUGCCGCGUGUGUGAAGAAGGCCUUCGGGUUGUAAAACUCUUUCAUCGGUGAGGAUAAUGACAGUAGCCGAAGAAGAAGGACCGGCUAAUUCCGUGCCAGCAGCCGCGGUAAUACGGAAGGUCCUAGCGUUGUUCGGAAUUACUGGGCGUAAAGCGCAUGUAGGCGGAACAAAAAGUUAGAAGUGAAAUCCCUGGGCUCAACCUAGGAAUUGCUUUUAAAACUUUUGUUCUGGAAUUCAGGAGAGGAAAAUGGAAUUUCCAGUGUAGAGGUGAAAUUCGUAGAUAUUGGAAGGAACACCAGUGGCGAAGGCGAUUUUCUGGACUGAUAUUGACGCUGAGAUGCGAAGGCAUGGGUAGCAAACGGGAUUAGA
rnacentral:rRNA from 1 species